AGAGUUUGAUCCUGGCUCAGAGCGAACGCUGGCGGCAGGCCUAACACAUGCAAGUCGAACGGAUCCUUCGGGAUUAGUGGCGGACGGGUGAGUAACACGUGGGAACGUGCCCUUUGGUUCGGAACAACUCAGGGAAACUUGAGCUAAUACCGGAUGUGCCCUUCGGGGGAAAGAUUUAUCGCCAUUGGAGCGGCCCGCGUCUGAUUAGCUAGUUGGUGAGGUAAAGGCUCACCAAGGCGACGAUCAGUAGCUGGUCUGAGAGGAUGAUCAGCCACAUUGGGACUGAGACACGGCCCAAACUCCUACGGGAGGCAGCAGUGGGGAAUCUUGCGCAAUGGGCGAAAGCCUGACGCAGCCAUGCCGCGUGAAUGAUGAAGGUCUUAGGAUUGUAAAAUUCUUUCACCGGGGACGAUAAUGACGGUACCCGGAGAAGAAGCCCCGGCUAACUUCGUGCCAGCAGCCGCGGUAAUACGAAGGGGGCUAGCGUUGCUCGGAAUUACUGGGCGUAAAGGGAGCGUAGGCGGACUGUUUAGUCAGAGGUGAAAGCCCAGGGCUCAACCUUGGAAUUGCCUUUGAUACUGGCAGUCUUGAGUACGGAAGAGGUAUGUGGAACUCCGAGUGUAGAGGUGAAAUUCGUAGAUAUUCGGAAGAACACCAGUGGCGAAGGCGACAUACUGGUCCGUUACUGACGCUGAGGCUCGAAAGCGUGGGGAGCAAACAGGAUUAGAUACCCUGGUAGUCC
rnacentral:rRNA from 1 species